rnacentral:tRNA from 1 species
CAAGGAAUAGUUUAUUAAAAUAUUAAUUUUGGAGAUUAAUGAUGAAUUGUUUUCUUCUUUGA